rnacentral:rRNA from 1 species
UACGUAGGGUGCAAGCGUUGUCCGGAAUUAUUGGGCGUAAAGAGCGUGUAGGCGGCCCGGUUAGUCCGCUGUGAAAGUCCAGGGCUCAACCCUGGAAUGCCGGUGGAUACUGUCGGGCUAGAGUCCGGAAGGGGCGAGUGGAAUUCCCGGUGUAGCGGUGAAAUGCGCAGAUAUCUGGAGGAACACCGGUGGCGAAGGCGGCAUCCUGGACCGGCAUUGACGCUGAGGCGCGAAAGCCAGGGGAGCAAACGGG